rnacentral:rRNA from 1 species
GAACGCCCCGCAAGGGGAGUGGCGGACGGGUGAGUAACGCGUGGGAACCUGCCCUAUGGUUCGGGAUAACUCGGCGAAAGCCGUGCUAAUACCGGAUGUGUCCUGAGGGAGAAAGAUUUAUCGCCACAGGAGGGGCCCGCGUCGGAUUAGCUAGUUGGUGGGGUAACGGCCUACCAAGGCGAUGAUCCGUAGCUGGUAUGAGAGGAUGAUCAGCCACACUGGGACUGAGACACGGCCCAGACUCCUACGGGAGGCAGCAGUGGGGAAUAUUGGACAAUGGGGGCAACCCUGAUCCAGCAAUGCCGCGUGAGUGAUGAAGGCCUUAGGGUUGUAAAGCUAUUUUGGCAGGGACGAUGAUGACGGUACCUGCAGAAUAAGCCCCGGCUAACUUAGUG